rnacentral:rRNA from 1 species
AUUGAACGCUGGCGGCAUGCCUUACACAUGCAAGUCGAACGGCAGCACGGGUGCUUGCACCUGGUGGCGAGUGGCGAACGGGUGAGUAAUACAUCGGCACAUGUCCUGUAGUGGGGGAUAGCCCGGCGAAAGCCGGAUUAAUACCGCAUACGAUCUACGGCUGAAAGCGGGGGCCCUUCGGGCCUCGCGCUAUCGGGUUGGCCGAUGGCGGAUUAGGUAGUUGGUGGGGUAAAGGCCUACCAAGGCGACGAUCAGUAGCUGGUCUGAGAGGACGACCAGCCACACUGGGACUGAGACACGGCCCAGACUCCUACGGGAGGCAGCAGUGGGGAAUUUUGGACAAUGGGCGAAAGCCUGAUCCAGCAAUGCCGCGUGUGUGAAGAAGGCCUUCGGGUUGUAAAGCACUUUUGUCCGGAAAGAAAUCCUUGGCUCUAAUACAGUCGGGGGAUGACGGUACCGGAAGAAUAAGCACCGGCUAACUACGUG